rnacentral:misc_RNA from 1 species
GUUCAAUGGUGUUUUUGGGUCCAUGAUGAGGCACAUCAAAAAAUGUGCUGUCUUAUCCAUUUGCAGAACUGUUUUGUGUUAUUUUUAUUAUUUUUGCAUAUUGUAUCUUGAUUAAGCUGGCCAGCAUUUACUUGGAGAUAUAGUGGUUAUCGGCAGUUGAACAUCAUGUCAAACAUCUUGAUUCCUUUAUGUUAUUUGAAACUGUGGGAAUAAU